rnacentral:rRNA from 1 species
AGCGAACGCUGGCGGCAGGCUUAACACAUGCAAGUCGAGCGGGCCUUUCGGGGUCAGCGGCGGACGGGUGAGUAACGCGUGGGAACGUGCCCUCUGGUUCGGAAUAACUCAGGGAAACUUGAGCUAAUACCUGAUACGCCCUUUUGGGGAAAGGCUUGCUGCCGGAGGAUCGGCCCGCGUCUGAUUAGCUAGUUGGUGAGGUAACGGCUCACCAAGGCGACGAUCAGUAGCUGGUCUGAGAGGAUGAUCAGCCACACUGGGACUGAGACACGGCCCAGACUCCUACGGGAGGAAGCAGUGGGGAAUAUUGGAAAAUGGGCGCAAGCCUGAUCCAGCCAUGCCGCGUGAGUGAUGAAGGCCUUAGGGUUGUAAAGCUCUUUUAUCCGGGACGAUAAUGACGGUACCGGAGGAAUAAGCCCCGGCUAACUUCGUG